AGAUGUGAGGGCGAUCUGGCUGCAACAUCUGUCACUCCAUUGAUCACCAGGGUUGAUUCAGCUGAUCUAGCUGGCUAGGUGGGUGUCCUCUUCCUCCAUCACUGCUCCAUGUGCGUCCUUCUAGAAGCUCCGAGCUCGGUUGAAGAGGACACCUUCCCCAAAUAGAGACAGACUGGUCUUCGGUUGAGGGUAUACAAGUAGCUGCGCUCCCCUGCUAGAACCUCCAAACAAGCUCUCAAGUAAAGAUAGAUAGCAGCAAAAAGUGCUGGAAAGGUUGUGGGGUCAAAGGAACCCUCCUGCACUGCUGGUGGGAAUGUCAGUUGGU
rfam:Erinaceus europaeus unplaced genomic scaffold scaffold00193, whole genome shotgun sequence